rnacentral:lncRNA from 1 species
AACAUAAGUCUUCCAAGUAUGGAAACUAACACAAUAUUUUCUAACAUAAGAUUGUUAGAAAUAACUGUUUCCCAGUAUUACCUACCUGUCCCAGAUGUCCUGUGAGGUAGUAUUUUCUUUAAUCCCCAAAGCACGUUAGACGUAACUUUCAACAUACUUCACUAAAGGAUGUCCAGGAUCCCUCGUCCUUAUGUUUCUAAGAGUCUGCAGGGAAUGCUUUCAAUGUUCUGGUUUUUACUGUUUUAGUUUGUUUUUUAAUUAAUUAAUUUUGGCCUGGUACAUUUCCCUUUAGCACAAUCCAUUGGAAUGCAAUUAUAUAUGACAUCAAUAUAUAACCCAGAAUUUUGGUUAUUCAGGGUUCCAAAACACUACACAAGGACUUCAAAAGAACAGUAGGGGUUGUGUCCAGGCAUCCUGGCGUGGACAGUGCCUCCACCACAACAUCAAGUGGUAAAGAUAUGCUUCCAUGUCCAACCAUAACCUUUCAGUCCCUAUUGGACACUGAAUGUUUGGAAAAAAUUCCACUGCAAGGAAACAGGUUGAAAGAAUUUGGGUCAUUUUCCCAGUGCCUGCUUUGGGGCCAGGUCAUAAAAGAGACAGGAGUAAACUAAGAUUGGCCUGACUCUCAAAUCUCAGAAUUGUCUGACUGACGGAUGGAUGACCCUAUCCAGCAUCAUGAUUUAAAAUUGUAAGUGAAAACAAACAGUUGAAUUUUUUUUAUUCAAUAUUCACUUCUGGAUUUACCUUUAAAAGCAGCUCAACCGUUGCAGAGUUAAGUAUCCUAAUUAAUUACAC